ACGGAAGGCAGCAGUGGGGAAUAUUGGGCAAUGGGGGAAACCCUGACCCAGCAACGCCGCGUGAAGGAAGAAGGCCUUCGGGUUGUAAACUUCUUUUACCGGGGACGAUAAUGACGGUACCUGGAGAAAAAGCAACGGCUAACUACGUGCCAGCAGCCGCGGUAAUACGUAGGUUGCAAGCGUUGUCCGGAUUUACUGGGUGUAAAGGGCGUGUAGGCGGAGCUGCAAGUCAGAUGUGAAAUCCCGGGGCUCAACCCCGGAACUGCAUUUGAAACUGUAGCCCUUGAGUAUCGGAGAGGCAAGCGGAAUCCCUAGUGUAGCGGUGAAAUGCGUAGAUAUUAGGAGGAACACCAGUGGCGAAGGCGGCUUGCUGGACGACAACUGACGCUGAGGCGCGAAAGCGUGGGUAGCAAACAGGAUUAGAUACCCUGGUA
rnacentral:rRNA from 1 species